rnacentral:rRNA from 1 species
CAGUAGCCGCGGUAAUACGAAGGGUGCAAGCGUUGUCCGGAAUUAUUGGGCGUAAAGCGUGCGCAGGCGGUUAUAUAAGUCAGAUGUGAAAUCCCCGGGCUCAACCUGGGAACUGCAUUUGAGACUGUAUGGCUAGAGUGUGUCAGAGGGGGGUAGAAUUCCACGUGUAGCAGUGAAAUGCGUAGAUAUGUGGAGGAAUACCAAUGGCGAAGGCAGCCCCCUGGGAUAACACUGACGCUCAUGCACGAAAGCGUGGGGAGCAAACAGGAUUAGAUACCCGCGUAGUCCCUGUCUCUUAUAC